UGGUGGAGUGAUUUGUCUGGUUAAUUCCGUUAACGAACGAGACCUCGACCUGCUAAAUAGUCUUUCCAACUCUUCGGGGUUGGGCAUGACUUCUUAGAGGGACUAUCGGUGUCUAGCCGAUGGAAGUUCGAGGCAAUAACA
rnacentral:rRNA from 1 species